GAUGAACGCUGGCGGCGUGCCUAAUACAUGCAAGUCGAGCGAACGGACGAGAAGCUUGCUUUUCUGAUGUUAGCGGCGGACGGGUGAGUAACACGUGGAUAACCUCCCUAUAAGACGGGGAUAACUUCGGGAAACCGGAGCUAAUCCGGGAUAAUAUUUUGAACCGCAGGGUUCAAAAGUGAAAUACGGUCUUGCUGUCACUUAUCGAUGGAUCCGCGCUGCAUUAGCUAGUUGUUAAGGUAACGGCUUACCACGGCAACGAUGCAUAGCCGACCUGAGAGGGUGAUCGGCCACACUGGAACUUGGACACGGUCCAGACUCCUACGGGAGGCAGCAGUAGGGAAUCUGCCGCAAUGGGCGAAAGCCUGACGGAGCAACGCCGCGUGAGUGAUGAAGGUCUUCGGAUCGUAAAACUCUGUUAUUAGGGAAGAACAUAUGUGUAAGUAACUGUGCACAUCUUGACGGUACCUAAUCAGAAAGCCACGGCUAACUACGUG
rnacentral:rRNA from 1 species